rfam:Bacillus sp. FJAT-27997 Scaffold1, whole genome shotgun sequence.
UCAUUGGUGACGGGGAAUCUGCAGAAAGCAGGCGGCAAUUCUCCGGUCUGAGGAUUACGAACUUCAUAGAAGAAUAAUUUGAAUUGAACGGCACUAUACGGAUCCUUAUUUAAGGUGGUGUGAGGGAACGGGAGUUAGU